AAUGAAAGUGCGCAGCCGCCCUAGCAACUGCGGUCCACCAAUGGCGGGGCCGGGCGGGGCUGCGCGCUGUCAGCGCUGGGCGGCGGGGCGGGGCCGGCUGCAAGCAAGGACUCGGGGCCCGCGCGGCGCCUCUCGGGGCCCGGCCGCCGCCUCUGCGCGCAGCCCCGCAGGCCGGGCAUGGGUUGGGGCGCCGGGCCGGCACGAUGAGCGCGCUGGGCAGCCCGGUCCGGGCCUACGACUUCCUGCUCAAGUUCCUGCUGGUGGGCGACAGCGACGUGGGCAAGGGCGAGAUCCUGGCGAGCCUGCAGGACGGCGCGGCCGAGUCCCCGUACGGCCACCCGGCGGAUUGAAAGGCCCAGGGAGUGGUCAGCCUGGCCACGAAGAUCCCUACGGCAAGGCCCGCAAAGCGUGCGAUUUCAGAGGAGCCACUCCAUGCCCACCAGGAGGAAAACCAGGUUGCAUUCAGAGGGUCAAGAGUGAGUCUGACGGCCGAUCUCAAAAGGAACUCUGGAAUGACGUGAAUGUGUUUAAGGGAAAAGCUCUUCUCCCUCCAUUGUAUGCCUGUCCAAACACGAGGAAGAGUGAGGGCAGCCUAAAGACGUCUUCAGACGUGCACAGUCUCAGAUACCACCUUCUUCCCUGCAACCUUCUCAGGAAUUGAAGAGGAGUAAGCUAAGAGACGGAAGGAUGGAAUCCAGCAGUGAGGGAGUGGGGGCCCCGGGGCAACCGUCUUCCCAGUCCAGAUGGGAGCAGGACAGAAGGUCUGGAAAGACGCCCCAAACAAAGCGAAAUUGUUGAAUGUUUGCAAGUGCCGAGAGCAGAUUUAGAUAACUGGGGAAAAUUAUAGUGAUGAAUUAAUUCGUAAUAAAUGCAGAGAAACUGAGCAAAUGAACAUGAGGCAAUUUUUUUUUUUUUUUUUUUUGAGACCGGAGUCUCACUCCAUCCCCCAGGCUGGGGUGCAGUGGUGCGAUCUCAGCUCACUGCAACUGCCGCCUGCCAGGUUCAAGCAAUUCUUCUGCCUCAGCCUCCCAAGUAGCUGGGACUACAGGCGCCCACCACCACGCCUGGCUAGUUUUUGUAUUUUUUUAGUAGAGAUGAGGUUUCACCAUGUUGGUCAGGCUGGUCUCGAACUCUUGACCUCAGAUGAUCCACCUGCCUCGGCCUCCCAAAGUGCCGGGAUUAUAGGCAUGAGCCACCGCACCCGGCACAAUGAGGCAGUUUUUAACUCCAGUAAAAACAAAAAUUCGUAUGUGAGGGAAAAAUGAACGUUGUAUACCAUAUGAUGGUUCAGCUGUGGAUGGCGUCUACCUGGUGUCAUUUUCUGUUGCUAUAACAGAAUUCCACAAACUGGGUAAUUUAUAAAGAAAAUAAAUGCGUUUCUUACAGUUUUGGAGGCUGGGAAGUCCAAGGUUGAGGGGCUGCAUCUGGGGAGGGCCUCCUGCUGUGUCAUAACCUGGCAGAGGGCAUCGCGUGAGCCGGUCAGCUCAGGUGUCUUCCUCUCCGUGUAACGCCACCAGUCCUAUCAUCAGGGCCCCGCACUGCCCACCCUACCUAGUCCUAAUUACUUCACAAAGGCCCACCUCCAGUCAGCACAGGAACGGGGGUUUACGUUUCUAACGUGAAAUUUAGGGGACACAUUCAAAGCACAGAACCUGGUUAUGAUGAUGUAGAAUUGAAUAUCCAUCGAGUUUUAAAAGGUGAGGUGUGUCUGAGAACGGGGAGUGUGUGUGUGUUAGAGUUACAGGGGUGGGGUGUGUUAGUACAGGGAGUUUGUGGAGUGUGUGUUAGAGUUACAGGGGUGGGUGUGUCAGUGAGAACAGGGAGCGUCUGUGUUAGAGUUACAGGGGUGGGGUGUGGCGAGUGAGUACAGGGAGCGUGUGUUACAGGGGUGGGUGUGUCAGUGAGUACGGGGAGCGUGUGUGUUAGAGUUACGGGGUGGUGUGUCCAGUGAGUAUGGGGCGUGUGGUGGGAGUUACAGGGUGGGGUGUGUCAGUGAGAACAGGGGGCGUGUGAGUGUGUAGGGAGUUACAGGGGGUAGGUGUGUCGAGUGAGAACAGCAAGGGGCGUCUGUCUGUUAGAGAUUACAGAAUUGGGAGUGUGGCAGUGAGUACAGGGAGCGUGUGUUACAGGGGUGGGUGUGUCAGUGAGUACGGGGAGCGUGUGUUGGGUUAGAGUUACAGGGGUGGGUGUGUCAGUGAGUACAGGGAGCGUGUGUGUUAGAGUUACAGGGGUGGGUGUGUCAGUGAGUACAGGGAGCGUGUGUGUGUUAAAGUUACAGGGGUGGGUGUGUCAGUGAGAACAGGGAGCGUGUGUGUUGGGGAGAGUUACAGGGGUGGGUGUGUCAGUGAGUACAAGGGGCGUGUGGUGUUGGGAUUACAGGGGUGGGGUGUGUCCGAGGUGAGGGAACAGGGGAGUGUGGGUGUGGUGGGGAUUACAGGGGGUGGGAAUUGUGUCCAGUGAGUACAGGGAGUGUGUGGAGUGUGAGUGUUAGAGUUACAGGGGUGGGUGUGUCAGUGAGUACAGGGAGCGUGUGUGUGUUAAGAGUUACAGGGGUGGGUGUGUCAGUGUCAGAGAGCUACAUGUUCACCUUCUAUAGUGGAAAGUCAAUGGAUGCCUUACGGUGGAAUGUCAGGAAGUGGGAACGUAAGCGUGUUGUUUAUAAAUUUGGAGUGCAUAGCAAAAGAAAUUUUUUUAAAGGAUUAAAAUGGGGAGGGGGACACAGGGAUUGGGGUGGGCCGGGGCCCGCAUCGUGGAUAGUGACAGCCCUUGAGACUGAGCAUCCAUGACUCUGAAAACAAAAAACAAAGAUGUUUUUGAAACUCAUAGGGUGCUUACAAAGACCAUCAGGAAGCCAGGCACAGUGUCUCACGCCUGUAAUCCCAGUACUUUGGGAGGCCGAGGCGGGCAGAUUACAAGGUCAGGAGUUCAAGACCAACCUGGCCAAUAUGGUAAAACUCUGUCUCUACUAAAAAUUAAAAAAAUGAGCCAGGUGUGGUGGUGCCUGUCUACAGUCCCAGCUACUCGGGAGGCUGAGACGGGAGAAUCGUGUGAACCCGGGAGGCGGAGGUUGCUGUGAGCUGAGAUCGUGCCACUGCACUCCAGCCUGGGCAACAGAGCAAGAUUCCAUCUCAAAAAAAAAAAAAGAAAAAGAAAAAGAAAAAGACAAGACAAGACCAUCAGGAAUUCUCUUACAUUUCUGAACACAUUUUAAAGUUUUUUGGCCCUCAGCUGGGCACGGUGGCUCACACCUACAAUCCUAGCACUUUGGGAGGCCGAGGCAGGAGGAUCACCUGAGGUUGUGAGUUUGAGACCAGCCUGGCCAACAUGGUGAAACCCCGUCUCUACUAAAAAUACAGAAAUUAGCUGGGCAUGGUGGUGCACACCUGUAAUCCCAGCUACACGGGAGGCUGAGGCACGAGGAUUGCUUGAACCACGAGAAUUGCUUGAGGCGGAGGUUGCAGUGAACCAAGAUCAUGUUCCCGCACUCCAGCCUGGGCGACAGAGCAAGACUCUGUCUCCAAAAAAAAAAAAAAAAAAAAAAAAAAAAUUGUUUGGCCCUCAAGGACAGGACGAGAGGAUACUUUCUAAGUCAGAGGACCCAGCCAAGCCCAGGCAGUGGAUUAAUCUCUGGAAGGACAAAAAUGGGCCUCUCAGCCUGUGGGGGUGAGUGUCCCUUCUGUCUGGAGACAGACAUAUCAAGGCCGGUGUUGUCUCCAUAUUCAAAAACAGAUUCCCAAGUGUAUUCAUUCAUUGCCUCGCGCCUGCCCAGGGAAAAUAAGUACUUCGAAAAUUCACUUUGAGGUUGCAAUUAUGGAUCAAAUAUGUGUGUUCUUUUCAAAUUUAUUGUGUGUGUUUCACGCUCUGUGUGUUCAGUGCUGACGGCUGCAGGACUUGGCACAUGGUGGUGCCCUUCCCGAGAGCCUAGCAGGGUUUUAAAGGACUGUGAAGAGUUGGGCAUCACUCAAAGCGUCAUUUCGCAGGGCCUGAAGCUCCUGUGCUGGGGCUGAUAGAACCGUCCAGUUGGAAGGCUCCAGAAAAGUGUUUUUGUCUCCUUUCACAUUUUUUUUUUUUUUAGAGACAGAGUCUCCCUGUGUCACCCAGACUGGAGUGCAGUGGCACGAUCAUAGUUCACUGCAGCCUCCAACUCCCGGGUUCAAGAGAUCCUCCCACCUCAGCCUCCUGAGUAACUGGCACAACAGGUGUGCACCACCAUGACUGGCUAAUUUUUUUUGUUUUAUUUUUAAUUUUUGAGACGGAGUUUUUCAUUCUUGUUGCCCAGGGUUGAGUGCAAUGGUGCGAUCUUGGCUCACUGCAACCUCCGCCUCACGGAUUCAAGAAAUUCUGCCUCAGCCUCCUGAGUAGCUGAGAUUACAGGCAUGUACCACCACGCCCGGCUAAUUUUGUAUUUUUAUUAGAGACAAGGUGUCUCCAUGUUGGUCAGGCUGAUCUCGAACUCCUCACCUCAGGUGAUCCACCCGCCUCGGCCCCUCAAAGUGCUGGGAUUACAGACAUGAGCCACUGCACCCAGGCCCUAAUUUUUUAAUUUUUUAUAGAGAUGAGGUCUCACCAUGUUGCCGAGGCUGGUCUCAAAUUCCUGGGCUCAAGCGAUCAUCCCACCUUGACGUCCCAAAGAACUGGGAUUACAGGCAUGAGCCACCAUGCCUGGCUGAGUAUUUUCCUUUCUAUUAAAGAAUUAUUUCCUCGAUACUCACUUAGUCACUUGGGAAAACUGCAGCAGUGCUGUUUUGGUCUGAGAGCAAUGGAGGCUACGCCCCAUCCCCCACAGUGGUGAAGUCAAGCUCCCGGUGCUAAGAUGCUGAUGGUAGCAGUGGCCCAUCUAGUGUGGCUGCUGCCAAGAUGCUGGCUGCAGUGGGGAGGCGUGGCUGGGCCUCCUGUUCCACAGAGCAGGUAGGAGCCCUCCCCGGGUGCCAUGGCCACUGCCCUGGGGCAGCUCCAGACGCGGGCAACUCCAGACGCGGGCAUCUCUGUGCUCUGGGAAAGCCACCCCUGUCCCCUGCAGGCUUAGAAGUGCCUGCUCCAGGCCGGGCACGGUGGUUCACGCCUGUAAUCCCAGCACUUUGGGAGGCCGAGACGGGCGGAUCACAAGGUCAGGAGAUCAAGACCAUUCUGGCUAACACAGUGAAAUUAUUUUUUUUGAGUUUGCCUAUGCUUUGUUAUGUGUAUCCUACAUUGAAAGCCUCGCUUCAUUUGUCGAUCAUACAUCAUGAUCAAGCCAUUUUUAGAGUUUUUAGAGACGGGUUUCACCGUGGGUCUUGAUCUCCUGACCUUGUGAUCCGCCUGGCCGGCCUCCCAAAGUGCUGGGAUUACAGGCGCGGAGCCACUGCGCCCGCCAAGACCAUUCUGGCUAACACAGGAAACCUCAUCUCUAUCAAGUCAUGCACCAAGUCAGC
rnacentral:lncRNA from 1 species